GUGCCGACGUGUCUUGUAAGGUGCGGCUAGAAACUGGGGACAUGGCAGCGCCUGGCCCAGCGCUCUGCCUCUUCGACGUGGAUGGGACCCUCACCGCCCCGCGGCAGAAAAUUACCAAAGAAAUGGAUGACUUCCUACAAAAAUUGAGGCAGAAGAUCAAAAUCGGAGUGGUAGGCGGAUCGGACUUUGAGAAAGUGCAGGAGCAACUGGGAAAUGAUGAAUAUUCAAAGUCAUCUGGGUGAGGCCCUAAUCCAAGAUUUAAUCAACUACUGUCUGAGCUACAUUGCAAAAAUUAAACUCCCGAAGAAGAGGUGGGUUUGCUUUUAACAAAGAGGCAUCACUGGAACAUAGCGUAGUGUCACAUGGUGGGCUAAUGUGGGCAUUCUCCAAAUAGGAUUAUAAAAAUCACCUAAAGAGUUUUAAAAACAAAGUCUGAUAUUUAGCGUGCCCCUUGGCAAUUCUGAUUCAGAAAGCCUGAGAGCCGAGCUUGGAAAUCCACAUUUUCUCUGGCUGCCCUGGUGCUGCUGGUUCACAGCAGGGUUCAGUAGCCACCAUGGGCCAGCGAAUUUAAAUCCGAAUCCCA
rnacentral:sRNA from 1 species